rnacentral:lncRNA from 1 species
UAGUUAAAGAGAAACCAUCUCAAGUGGAGCUCUCGUUAUGUGACACCUGCUCAUGUUCUGUCUUCAAUAUAAAACCUGCUCAGGUUAGUCGGGUAAAAUUGCCCUUAUUCCUCAUAGAAGGCAUUAUUUUUAUGCCUUUUUUUUUUUCUGUUUCCUUUGAUUUGCUUACUGGCGUACUUGAACAGGAUCUGAUCUACAGGAUCGUACAACCAUAUCCUUAAUGGCCUAUAUGCUGAUUGCUGAACCAUCCUCUCAGGUUUAGAGAGUGAAUCAUCUGAGACGGGUGAAAAGCAUAACCUUCGAAGUAUAUAGAACUAGAACAGGAUCCAUGAACUACUGCAGCACUCUAAAGAUUUAUCAUUGGGAAGAAAUAAAAUGAAAAAGUUUGACAGGCGGAAGAGACUCAACUAAAACUAUGAACCAUGCUUGCUGGGUACUUGAAUUAGCAGACGCUCUCACUUAAUUGGGAUGAUAUUACGCACCAAUGGCCUGCUGAACCUUUUGCUCUCAAUUUCAGCCAGCCACAAAGGAAUAAUGCUGUGUGGCUUCCAUUUCCUGCAGACGAAAACUUCCACUGCCACGUGGCAGGAGGAGAUCAGUACAACUUACACCGGGUGGUAGAAUGUGGAGUGGACAAGACAGCAUCAAGUUGCGGUUCGCCUGGAAACUUUUCAAGAGCCACCAAGCAUUUUCUCAGAAUAAGUUCUAUCACUCCAGACCCAUGAAAUCAGGAUCAGCAA